GACGAACGCUGGCGGCGUGCUUAACACAUGCAAGUCGAACGGAAAGGCCCUGCUUUUGUGGGGUGCUCGAGUGGCGAACGGGUGAGUCACACGUGAGUAACCUGCCCUUGACUUUGGGAUAACUUCAGGAAACUGGGGCUACUACCGGAUAGGAGCUCCUGCUGCAUGGUGGGGGUUGGAAAGUUUCGGCGGUUGGGGAUGGACUCGCGGCUUAUCAGCUUGUUGGUGGGGUAGUGGCUUACCAAGGCUUUGACGGGUAGCCGGCCUGAGAGGGUGACCGGCGACAUUGGGACUGAGAUACGGCCCAGACUCCUACGGGAGGCAGCAGUGGGGAAUAUUGCACAAUGGGCGGAAGCCUGAGGCAGCAACGCCGCGUGCGGGAUGACGGCCUUCGGGUUGUAAACCGCUUUCGCCUGUGACGAAGCGUGAGUGACGGUAAUGGGUAAAGAAGCACCGGCUAACUACGUG
rnacentral:rRNA from 1 species